rnacentral:rRNA from 1 species
UACAGAGGGUGCAAGCGUUGUUCGGAAUUACUGGGCGUAAAGCGCACGUAGGCGGUCUUUUAAGUCGGUGGUGAAAUCCUGGAGCUCAACUCCAGAACUGCCUUCGAUACUGGAAGACUUGAGUCCGGGAGAGGUGAGUGGAACUGCGAGUGUAGAGGUGAAAUUCGUAGAUAUUCGCAAGAACACCAGUGGCGAAGGCGGCUCACUGGCCCGGUACUGACGCUGAGGUGCGAAAGCGUGGGGAGCAAACAGG